UACGUAGGGGGCGAGCGUUGUCCGGAAUUAUUGGGCGUAAAGAGCUCGUAGGCGGUCUGUCACGUCGGCUGUGAAAACCCGAGGCUCAACCUCGGGCCUGCAGUCGAUACGGGCAGACUAGAGUUCGGUAGGGGAGACUGGAAUUCCUGGUGUAGCGGUGAAAUGCGCAGAUAUCAGGAGGAACACCGGUGGCGAAGGCGGGUCUCUGGGCCGAAACUGACGCUGAGGAGCGAAAGCGUGGGGAGCGAACAGG
rnacentral:rRNA from 1 species